rnacentral:rRNA from 1 species
GACGAACGCUGGCGGCGUGCUUAACACAUGCAAGUCGAACGAUGAAGCUAGAGCUUGCUCUGGUGAAUUAGUGGCGAACGGGUGAGUAACACGUGAGUAACCUGCCCCGAACUCUGGGAUAACUGCUGGAAACGGUAGCUAAUACUGGAUACGACCUACGAAGGCAUCUUCUGUAGGUGGAAAGAAUUUCGGUUCGGGAUGGACUCGCGGCCUAUCAGCUUGUUGGUGAGGUAAUGGCUCACCAGGGCGACGACGGGUAGCCGGCCUGAGAGGGUGACCGGCCGCACUGGGACUGAGACACGGCCCAGACUCCUACGGGAGGCAGCAGUGGGGAAUAUUGCACAAUGGGCGCAAGCCUGAUGCAGCAACGCCGCGUGAGGGAUGACGGCCUUCGGGUUGUAAACCUCUUUUAGUAGGGAAGAAGCGAAAGUGACGGUACCUGCAGAAAAAGCACCGGCUAACUACGUGCCAGCAGCCGCCGUAA